AAGCCAGGCAUCAAAGCUGCAUUACUGCAGCAGCUUCUCAGUUGAUGGCCCUGCUUCUAGUGCCCUCUGCCCCCCUCUCUCUCUCUCUCUCUCUCUCUCUCUCUCUCUCUCUCUCUCUCUCUGUGUGUGUGUGUGUGUCUGUCUCUGUCUUUCUCUGUCUCUCUAUCUCUCUGUCUCUCUCUGCAUCUCUGUCUCUGUCUUUCUCUCUGUCUCUGUGUCUCUGUGUCUCUGUCUCUGUAUCUGUCUCUCUCUGUGUCUCUCUAGCUCUCUCUCUCUGUGUCUCUGUCUUUCGCUGUCUAUCUCUGUCUUUGUCUCUCUGGCUCUGUCUCUCUAUAUCUCUGUCUCUGUCUUUCUCUCUGUCUCUAUCUCUCUAUGUCUCUGUCUCUGUCUUUCUCUCUGUCUCUGUCUCUCUGUGUCUCUGUCUCUGUCUUUCUCUCUGUCUCUGUCUCUGUAUCUGUCUCUCUCUGUGUCUCUCUAGCUCUCUCUCUCUGUGUCUCUGUCUUUCGCUGUCUAUCUCUUUGUCUCUCUGCGUCUCUGUCUCUGUCUUUCUCUCUGUCUCUAUCUCUCUGUGUCUCUGUCUCUGUCUUUCUCUCUGUCUCUGUCUCUCUGUGUCUCUGUCUCUGUAUCUGUCUCUGUGUCUCUCUAGCUUUCUCUGUGUCUCUGUCUUUUGCUGUCUAUCUCUGUCUUUGUCUCUCUGGCUCUGUCUCUGUCUCUCUAUUCUCUGUCUCUCUCUGCUCUCUCUCUGUUUUUCUCUGUCUAUCUCUCUGUCUCUGUCUCUCUUUCUCUCUGUCUCUGUAUCUGUCUCUCUCUGUGUCUCUCUAGCUCUCUCUCUCUCUGUCUCUGUCUUUCGCUGUCUAUCUCUGUCUUUGUCUCUCUGGUUCUGUCUCUGUCUCUCUAUCUCUCUGUCUCUCUCUGCAUCUCUGUCUCUGUCUUUUUCUCUGUCUCUAUCUCUCUGUGUCUCUGUCUCUCUUUCUCUCUGUCUCUGUCUCUGUAUCUGUCUCUCUCUGUGUCUCUCUAGCUCUCUCUGUGUCUCUGUCUUUUGCUGUCUAUCUCUGUCUUUGUCUCUCUGGUUCUGUCUCUGUCUCUCUAUCUCUCUGUCUCUCUCUGCAUCUCUGUCUCUGUCUUUCUCUCUGUCUCUAUCUCUCUGUGUCUCUGUCUCUCUUUCUCUCUGUCUCUGUCUCUGUAUCUGUCUCUCUCUGUGUCUCUCUAGCUCUCUCUGUGUCUCUGUCUUUUGCUGUCUAUCUCUGUCUUGUCUCUCUGGUUCUGUCUCUGUCUCUCUAUCUCUCUGUCUCUCUCUGCAUCUCUGUCUCUGUCUUUCUCUCUGUCUCUAUCUCUCUGUGUCUCUGUCUCUCUUUCUCUCUGUCUCUGUCUCUGUCUCUGUCUCUCUCUGUGUCUCUCUAGCUCUCUCUCUGUGUGUCUCUGUCUUUUGCUGUCUAUCUCUGUCUUUGUCUCUCUGUCUCUGUCUCUGUCUUUCUCCUGUCUCUAUCUCUCUAUGUCUCUGUCUCUGUCUUUCUCUCUGUCUCUAUCUCUGUGUCUCUGUCUCUGUCUUUCUCUCUGUCUCUGUCUCUGUGUCUGUCUCUCUCUGUGUCUCUCUAGCUCUCUCUCUGUGUCUCUGUCUUUCGCUCUCUAUCUCUGUCUUUGUCUCUCUGUCUCUGUCUCUGUCUCUCUGUCUCUGUCUCUCUCUCU
rnacentral:lncRNA from 1 species